rnacentral:lncRNA from 1 species
CAAAUGUAAGUUAGCAUGUAGCAAGUCGAAAAUCAACAUUUCAGUAAAAGACAGAAAGAAAUGCCAUCAACUUGCUAAAUAAAAACCUUUGUUUAAGAAAGAAAUCUGAAAGCAACUAAGCAUACAGGUUAUGGCCAUUAAUAUUAUAGCAUUUGGUUUUUUUUCCCUUUAUGUUUAGGGGGGCGGAGGGGGGGAUCCCAAUAACUAAAUCAUAAUGACAAUUACUCACCUAAUGCAAGAAGAUCACACUGAAAUAGGGGGAGAGCAUGAUUGCCAUUUUGCAGUAUUGAGAAGAACAAGACAACUAAUGAAAUAAAAACAUAGGCUACAAAAGAGACAUAUACUAAAAAAACUCCAUCAAGAAGAAGGUCCCAAGAACUAAAUCAUAAUGACAAUUACUCACCUAAUGCAAGAAGAUCACACUGAAAGAGGGGGAGAGCAUGAUUGCUGUUUUUCAGUAUUGAGAAGAAACAAGACAACUAAUGAAAUAAAAACAAAGGCUACAAAAGAGACAUAUACUAAAAAACUCCAUCAAGAAAGAAGAUAUAGGCCUGACUUUAAAAGUACAGAUAUUAUUAGAUUUUAUCUAGUUCCUUGAAAGCCAUCUGAAACAUUUUCAGCAUUUUUUUGAAACAUACAGUGAUAUUUCAUCGUUAACACAACCACACAAGUAGUGUUUGCCAUAGGUGAUAUUUUUCCCUUCAAGUAUCCAAGUAGUUGGGUUGCAUUUAUAAAAGGGAGAACUGGAAUUGCUAAACACUUCUUUUAUGUUCAAAGCUAUAGGUGAGGUUUGGUAUUACUCUAACAUGGUUGCAGCAUGUAUCAUGAGAUUAUGAAUUAUUUUGCAUCAAACAAGAAAGGUGAAGAGUUGCACUACAGGUUGUUGUAUUUGACAUCUAACAGGUUAACAAUGUGAAUUCAUUUCAUGAAAUCACUGUCGAAGAUUGAGAUGUAGAUUCCAAGUGCACAACUUACAAGAGUUCCCCUAAUUUAAAGGCAUGAUCAAACUACACUCACUUUUCUUCUAUUAUGAAAGAAUAACAAAAGAGAAGGCUAGUGAUUUGUUAGAGGUGGAUCUUCCUCCUAUUACCUCCAUUCAGGAUAGGAGUUUUGGGGGUGACUUUGAUGGAUCAACAUCUAUUCAGCAUGCAACAAUAUACACUCUUAAGGAUACUCACCUAUUAGAUAUUUUGGAUGACCACCCAACCAUGAGUCCAUUAUUUCCACACUAGAACUCAAACAACUAAAUUUGACUCUUUCAGGCACUACUCAGAACUUAACUGAGACCUACUACACAGUAGCAGUAACAUUCACAGAACACAAUACUCAUAAUAUGUUACAUGACACGUGAUAUCCAUUAGCAUCUUCAUUCCUUAGUUUCACCUUGUUCUUAAGGUGAAGAUGCCCAAUAAUGUUUGACCUCUCUCUUUUCUAUCAGCUCAUCACCAUCAUUAUAGUAGGACCUAUUGGCAUCAAAAAGACUAUUUUUACAAUGGCGACCUGGCAGAAAUUUUGCACCACAAUAAUUAAGCACCCAAUUCCAUGCCAUUGUCGAGCUUCCAUCAAUGAAAUAUGCUUAGCCAAUGGAGGUGCCGUAGUGGUAGUAAAGUUGUCAGUAGAGGCCUUCGUGGUGCCAUCCACAUGUUAUUUCCUGUGAUGAAGAUUAAGCUUCUCUUGCAAGAAAGCUUUAGCAUGGUUGCACGCCAAGAUGUAGGAUGGAGCAUUUGGACAUCAAUUCGAAUUACAUCGAUUAGCCCACAAGCAAAGUAGCCAAUUAGGAAACUCUCAAAAAGAUGAUCAGCAAGAUAGGCCACGAGCUCAAAGUUGGAUUGAUAAUCUUGCAAAGUUGAAGUUUGUCAAAACUUGGAUAAAGCAUCAGCAUACGUCGGAUCCGCCUCCAUGAUCUUAAUCUCUGCCCUCUUUAUCAUGUGAUACAAGAAGCUCAUCUGAGAGUAUCUCUCGCUAUCCACGGCCCGAAACACCUCAUACAAUGGUCUAAUAGCCUUCAUUAUUGUAGUGGCCUGCUGUCAGAAUGCCUGCCUCGUCACCAACUCCUCGACAAUGCUUCCUUUAGUGUCGGCCCUCACAUAUCUAUUUUCUACCACCGAGGCUGACAAACAUCUAACGUAGGUUGCUUUCUUCUCAAGAAGGCUAUCAAAUG